GAUAAACGCUGGCGGCGUGCUUAACACAUGCAAGUCGAACGAAGUUUUUCCUUCGGGAGAAACUUAGUGGCGGACGGGUGAGUAACGCGUGGGUAACUUGCCCUCUCUAGGGGGACAACAGCUUGAAACGGCUGCUAAUACCGCAUAAGCACUUAGCACUGCAUGGUGCAUAGGGAAAAGGAGCAAUCCGGUACAGGAUGGACCCGCGUCUGAUUAGCCAGUUGGCAGGGUAAGGGCCUGCCAAAGCGACGAUCAGUAGCCGAUCUGAGAGGAUGUACGGCCACAUUGGAGAUGAGGCACGGCCCAGACUCCGACGGGAGGCAGCAGUGGGGAAUAUUGCGCAAUGGAGGAUGCUCUGAUGCAGCGACGCCGCGUGAGUGGAGAAGUAUUUCGGUAUGUAAAGCUCUAUCAGCAGGGAAGAAAAUGACGGUACCUGACUAAGAAGCACCGGCUAAAUACGUG
rnacentral:rRNA from 1 species